rnacentral:lncRNA from 1 species
AAAAGCUUAGAGAAAGAACGAUUAAGUAACUUAUUCAAGUUCUCACAGCAGUAUGUGGUAGAGACAACUAUGGUAAUGAAACAGUCUGCUCUAGAGUUCAUAAUCUUCACCAUCUUGAUACACUGCUCAGGAAAUCUUGGCUCUAUAAGAAUACUAACAGACGGAAUACUAUGCAGCCAUAAAAGAGGAUGAGUUCAUAUCCUUUGCAGGGACAUGGAUGAAGCCUGAAACCAUCAUUCUCAGCAAACUAACACAGGAACAGAAAACCAAACCACAUUCUCUCACUCGUAAGUGGGAGUCCAACAAUGAGAACACAUGGAAACAGGGAGGGGAACACCACAAACCAGGGCCUGUUGGCAGGUAGGGGGCUAGGGGAAGGAUAGCAUUAGGAGAAAUACCUCAUGUAGAUGACAGCUUAAUGGGUGCAGCAAAGCAUGUGUAUACCUUGUAACAAACCUGCAUGUUCUGCACAUGUAUCCCAUAUGUAUCCAAGUAUAAUAAUAAUAAAAAAGAAUACUAUUAGUAUUUUAUAGAUUUUAUAACUUCCAAUGGGGCUAUCUGGUGCAAGCACCAGUUUUUUUGUCUGAAUUACUAUAAUAGCCACUUAACUGCUGUUCCAUCUUGAACUCUUCCUCUUUAUAGUAUAUUCUCAACAUGGAAGCAAGAACAAUAAUUUUAAAAUGUAAGGCAGUUCACAUUAGUUUUCUUUAUAAAACCCAGAAACUUUACAAUGGCUUUGAAAGUCCCAUAUAACAUGGCUUCCUUCCACUACUUGCUCACAACAAUUUGGCACACUGACCUCCCUGUUCUUUCUCACUCAAGGGUGUUGCCUCUUUAGGGAUUCCACAUUUGCUUUUCUCUCUGACUCCAAAGUUCAUAAUGCAUAUAAUUGCAUCGCUUAGUCUCUCAUCUGCUGCCAAGUUCUAGCUUGAAAAUACUAUCUCCUCACUUAGGUCAAACAUGAUACCGCUAUUUGAAAUUGCAAAUUAUAUGCCCCUUCUUCCUAACCUGUCAUUCUAGAUCAUCUCACCUUGAUCUAUACAUAUUUUUCUAUGGAAUUUAUCACCUUACAACAUGCCCCAUAAUGUAAUUAUUUAAUGUUUAUUAUGUAAUUGAUUAUGUUUCCCCCUAAGAUGAGCUUCAACAAGAGCAGGAAUCUCUGUUUUGUUCACUGAUACAUCUCUAUGUUCUUAGAAAAAUCUGUAGUAAAUAAUAGUCACUGAAUAAAGUCUUAUUUAAUAAAUGGAU